rnacentral:rRNA from 1 species
GACAGAGGGGGCAAGCGUUGCUCGGAAUUACUGGGCGUAAAGGGCGCGUAGGCGGGAUGGCAAGUCGGUCGUGAAAUCCCUCGGCUCAACCGAGGAACGUCGAUCGAUACUGCUGUUCUUGAGGAUUGCAGAGGAGACUGGAAUUCCCGGUGUAGCGGUGAAAUGUGUAGAGAUCGGGAGGAACACCGGUGGCGAAGGCGGCUCUCUGGACGGUGACUGACGCUGAGACGCGAAAGCGUGGGGAGCAAACAGG